UUCUACAAUGGAAAAAUAAACAAUUCUCUGAGUAAGGGUGUGCUGCAAGUUUGUCCCUUUACUUAACUUCCCCUAGAAGAGAGGAAAGAGAACCCUUCUGUGGUAGAGCAUAUGAAGUCUGUCUGGAAGUCCCCGUUUUUGCAGACUGAUGAUGCUGAUACCUCCAGAACAUGAUGGUUAUUGAUUUUCCAUCUUGUAUCUCAGAAGAAACCACACAGAUCCUGGACUUGAUUCACUGAAAGGAAAGCAAAAGGACUCUGAUAGGAGAUUUCUUACAUACAAGCCUUGUGUCUGAUGUACCUGUACUUCUCUGCCCCCAGCAGCACAGAUGGCAGCGUUGUGCUCACACUGUGUUCUUGGAUCGUGUGGAGGAAAAGCUUUGCCAGCUGCAUCAGGGA